CGGAGGAUCCAAGCGUUAUCCGGAAUCAUUGGGUUUAAAGGGUCCGUAGGCGGGUUUAUAAGUCAGUGGUCGAAAGCCCAUCGCUCAACGAUGGAACGGCAUUGAUACUGUAGAUCUUGGAUUAUUAGGAAGUAACUAGAAUAUGUAGUGUAGCGGUGAAAUGCUUAGAGAUUACAUGGAAUACCAAUUGCGAAGGCAGGUUACUACUAAUGGAUUGACGCUGAUGGACGAAAGCGUGGGUAGCGAACAGGAUUAGAUACCCUGGUAGUCCACGCCGUAAACGAUGGAUACUAGCUGUUCGGAGCAAUCUGAGUGGCUAAGCGAAAGUGAUAAGUAUCCCACCUGGGGAGUACGUUCGCAAGAAUG
rnacentral:rRNA from 1 species